CAAACACACAAGCAUGGACAUUUAACACAAAUAUGUAUAUUCCAUUGCCAAACAGUAGUUUUUGAACAUCUGUUUCACCCCCCAGCUAAGAAUUUUUUGUUCUAAGGACAUUUUCCAAACGUUCAUUUUUCGUUAUGGAAACAUUAAAAUGUCCAGUUUUCUUAAUGUUCCUGAAACAUUCUUUCAAUUUAAUUUUUACUACCAACUAAUAAGAAUGUUGAUUUGUAACAUUCCAAGAACAUAAAAAUGUCCAGUUUCCUUAAUAUUAAUAGAACAUUAUUUAAAGGUUAGUAUUAUGUUCCUGAAACAUUCUUUCAAACAUCUGAACACAUGUUGUUAAUAAGCAGAAUCAUUGAAGGAAAGAGAAACAACAAGAACAGAGACUGACUUCCAGCCACAGUCUUAGAUGAAAUCAGCUGAAGAUAAAAGAUUUCUUUCAAACAUGUACAAAGGUUCUUAUUGAGAUAUACAGAGGUUUAAAUGUUGAUGUUUAGUUGAAAACACGUUUUGUUUGAAGUCACCAUGAUGGUGGUCCAUGUUUGCUUUAGUUAGGCUCUUUACCCUUGACUUUUAUUAACUUACUUCUUUUUCAGCAAUUGCAAUAAUAUUUUCAAGCCUUAGUGCUCAAUGUAGCAUACUAAGUGACACAGAAUUGUGAUUGAUCUGGGGACCCACUGCUCUGCACAUUUUGUAUGUUUCUCUUAUCUGCCACAGUAAUUUCACCUCAUGGUGCUCUUUCCUAACAAGCUGAUGAUCUAAAUCAGGUGUGUUAAAUUAUGAUAUGAAGAGCGGGUCCCCAGGAACAGGAUUGAAAACCACUGAUAAAGAGUGACAUAAAAAUCACAUAAAUUCUGAAAUGACUGUUCAGACUGAGGUGAUAGUGAGGGUUUCAAUGAAAUCCCAACUAAACUAAAGAUGUAUCUGAAACGCACGUUAAUACCAUGUGAGUCAAAAAUGUUAAUGUUAAUACUGUAUGUCCCACUGAACAUUUCAGAUCGGUUCACCGAAAAUGCAUCUUAAAGGAGGUAUAUGUAGAAUUCAGAAACCCUUGUUAUUAGCGACACCAGUGGCAUAUUUACAUUACAGUACAGAAUGGCUCUUUUGGAUUUAUCCUGAACAUUGUAUAAGCAUUUAAUUCUUGUGUUGUUGAACGGAAAAGAGAGGAUCUCAAGAGUGCAUGUAAACGUCACAUCCUUUUUAUUUCGUGGCAAACAUGAUUCCUUCAUGUGGCAGGAUAAGUCACUCAUCUUAUUGGUUGGUUGGAGUAUAGUUGGUGGACCAAUUAAGUGAUAGCAGCCGUACUAUUUAAGGACCCUUAUUUUGACGGGUAGUUAUGUUUGUGACUUGGGGUGCUUCUCUCUCUCUCUCUCUGGCAUUUCCGUUCCGAUUCCUAUUCAGGUAUAUUGGGUUUCUGUUGGUGGUGUAAUGAUGCGUAUGUUGCGAGGCUAAUAUGCGCUAUUUAUAGUUUAAUUUAGAGCGGGGCUGGUGGCGUUGGCAUUGUGGCAAGUCGUGGCGGAGUUCGCUUGCAGGUAUGUUUGGUGCUUAAAUCUUUCGACCGCCUCAGUUGUGGUAUUUAUUGUGUGUUGCUCUCAGUAAUAGCAGCGAGGGCAGGUGUGUGAAUGCUGGCCGGUAGACUGAGCUGCGGCACCGGUAGUGAGUAACCAUACAGCUGUGCGUCUAGUGUUUGUUCAACACCAAUCGUAAGUAUGCUGCUCUUGUCUUUCAUAUUUGUGAUUUUCUGAAUUUUUAGAUUAAUUCUCAUACUCCUUGGUUAAAGGGGAACAUUAAAUCCUGUUCCUAGCCAAUGACUUCAUGUGACGCAGCUGCUGUUUUGCUUAUGGAUACGUUUUGGUUUUGAUCGUGUUUACGGUCAUCUGUGCUGUGUCCUGCUCUGCUGCUCGGCGAGUCGCCGGGGCUGCUAAUGUUGGCUUCGGAGUAUUGCGUCCGCAGGGCUUCCUACCAGUUGAGCUUUUGGAUUUAACAACUUUUUUUAGUAUAGUAAUUUGUUGCUAUAUUUGUUUCUUUUUUUAUAUAUUUUUGUGGCUGGUUUUGUCUUGGUUCUGAUUUAUUUUGUCGCUCUAUUAUAGUAUGUUUACUUCUCUCUUUUUUUUUUUUUUUUUUUUUUUUUUUUCUUUUUUUUUUCUUUUGGUUAUGUAUUGUUUGUUGUAAAGGUUUAAUUUAUUAUUAUUCAUUGACUCACUGUUCUAGUGCCACUCAGGUGCUGGUUAUUUGUCUGUUUUGUAUGUGGUGUCCUCUGGAGGCCUGAGUGUCAGAGCUUAAUAACUAAUAUAAAUUUUGUUUGAAUUUCUUUCUAUAUGCUCCUUUUUUUUUUUUUUUUUUUUUUUUUUUCCCAUGCCAGUGAGGGCUUGUGUGGAUCUGGGGAGGCUAGCUGCUUUCAUUCUGUGGCAUUUCACAGUGUGCUGUGCGUGUGCUGAUACAACUUCCCUUUGGUGGGUGUGCGUGGUGUUUGCUUUGGUGUGAAUUGAGGUGGGUUUUGGAUGACCUCCUGAGUUGCAGCCGGCCUGCCUGGUUCCCACUAAUCCUGGCCCUGGAAACUAUUUCUACUAUUGUGGGUGUGUUUGGUGAGUUUUAAUCAAUGCUUGUGCUUUUUAUAAUAAAGUCUAUUUUUGCAUUGGUAGUCCCUUAUCUCUUUGCCUUCAAUUGGUGAAACUUAUCUGUGUGUCCUUUUAUUGGGAGUUAUUUCCCUGGCCUCCCAGCAGGGUGGCGUAGUCGGAUAAAUUUAAUGGUGAUUUAACAUUCUCCAUUUGGUACUGCCACAUUCACAUAAAAAUCAAACCAAUACUCGGUUUGUACACAUUGAUUCAAUCACCUAAAUGCAGUUGAUUCCACACUAACUCCAAUAAAUAAUAUUAACAAAAGUAUAAUUUCAUGUUUUAUCAGACACUUUUUUUUUUUUUUUUUUUUUUUUUUUUUGCAAAAAUCCAAGAAAAACACAAUACCCCACAUUUGAUAUAGACAAAGCACAUAUUAUCUAGCAACAUUGAUAAUGAAUUUAGAUCAUAAGACAAACUGGCUGUGACAAGCAGGGCGGGGCGAGAGCCGUGAGAGAACGGCACGAGGCCGGUAACACGAGUGAUAAUGAGCGUCAGCUGCGUGCUGCACCGGUCUCGUAUCUCACGGAGGAGCUCUGGAAGCAUAAAAUGAGGAGCAACGACAGUGAAGGACGAGAGAGGACCAGGCCUGGAUUUUAUGUUAUGUUUUUAUUAUGUUUGUGUGGCCAGCAGUUGGCUGUGCAGGACUGCCAGCAUUUUACUUUCUUUUGUAUUUGUUUAUUUUGUAUAUUAAAAUCUGUUUAAAUGUUCGCCAGUUUCCACCUCCUUUCCACAUAAACCUACCUCGUUACAUUAGUGCCGAAACCCGGGAGGAAGGAGGGACAUGCUGUCAAAGAGCCCUCGCUGCUGAGGGGGAGGUUUUUUAUUUUCUCUCUUCCCUCUCUCGUCUCUGGUGCUCCUUGUGCUUCCGUCUCCUUUUCUCUCGUCUCAUCUGUCCUUACCCCCAGGUGCUGCGGCCGCCGAGACUGGCCCCAGGGGGAGUAGAGCGCAGUCUCGGGAGUAUGUGACAAGCAAGGUGGGGCGAGAGCCGUGAGACAGUGAUAAUGAGCGUCAGCUGUGCGUUGCAUCGGUCUCAUAUCUCACGGAGGAGCUCCAGAAGCAUAAAAGGAGGAGUGACGACAGUGAAGGACGAGUGAGGACCAAGCCUGGACUGUUUUAUUAUGUUUGUGUGGCUGGCAGUCGGCCGUGAGGGACUGCCAGCAUUUUACUUUCGUUUUGUUGUUUAUUUUAUAUAUUAAAGUCUGUUAAACGUUCACAAGUUCCUGCCUCCUUCUUCCCAUAACAACAUACCUCGUUACACUGGCAUUUUUUUUUCAUCUGCCGUGGUGUGUGUGUGUGUGUGUGUGUGUAUAUAUAUAUAUAUAUUUAUUUAUUUAUUUAUUUAUUUUUAUUUUUUUUUUUUUUUUUUCUUCUACGUUUUUUAGUUUAUCUAAACCUGAUUUGCUUCAACUCUAUGCCAUUUACCAUAUGGUAGCAUCAUGGAUCACUGUGAUAAUUUACUAGAAUGUAAUCAUCUGAAUUCACUCACUGAUGAGGUUGAGCUGAAUUUUGGUGGUCAGGGAGAUGAAAGUCAAAUGUGUGUCUCUGGUUUCUGCUCCACACCAGUAAACUCCAGCAUCUCUCACGCUCACAUUACUGAUGCUCACUGUAAAAACUCUCUCUUCAUUUCUCUCAGAUGAACCAUUCAUUUCUGUCACUGUAGAUGUGUUGAUGUUUUGACAGAUGUGAUUAUCAUCCUCUUUGCAGAAAUGAACUUUAUGUU